rnacentral:rRNA from 1 species
CCUACGGGAGGCAGCAGUGAGGAAUAUUGGUCAAUGGACGAGAGUCUGAACCAGCCAAGUAGCGUGAAGGAUGACUGCCCUAUGGGUUGUAAACUUCUUUUAUAUGGGAAUAAAAUGUUCCACGUGUGGGAUUUUGUAUGUACCAUAUGAAUAAGGAUCGGCUAACUCCGUGCCAGCAGCCGAGGUAAUACGGAGGAUCCGAGCGUUAUCCGGAUUUAUUGGGUUUAAAGGGAGCGUAGGUGGAUUGUUAAGUCAGGUGUGAAAGUUUGCGGCUCAACCGUAAAAUUGCAGUUGAAACUGGCAGUCUUGAGUACAGUAGAGGUGGGCGGAAUUCGUGGUGUAGCGGUGAAAUGCUUAGAUAUCACGAAGAACUCCGAUUGCGAAGGCAGUUCACUGGACUGCAACUGACACUGAGGCUCGAAAGUGUGGGUAUCAAACAGGAUUAGAUACCCCAGUAGUC